GAUGAACGCUCGCUACAGGCUUAACACAUGCAAGUCGCGGGGCAGCAUGGGGGUUGCUUGCCACUCCCGAUGGCGACCGGCGCACGGGUGAGUAACGCGUAUCCAACCUGCCCUUCACCACGGGAUAACCCGGCGAAAGUCGGACUAAUACCGUAUGUUGUCCAUUGACGGCAUCCGAUUUGGACGAAAGGCUUUGCGGUGAAGGAUGGGGAUGCGUCCGAUUAGCCAGACGGCGGGGUAACGGCCCACCGUGGCUACGAUCGGUAGGGGUUCUGAGAGGAAGGUCCCCCACACUGGAACUGAGACACGGUCCAGACUCCUACGGGAGGCAGCAGUGAGGAAUAUUGGUCAAUGGGCGUAAGCCUGAACCAGCCAAGUAGCGUGCAGGAUGACGGCCCUAUGGGUUGUAAACUGCUUUUAUGCGGGGAUAAAGUGGCCCACGUGUGGGCUUUUGCAGGUACCGCAUGAAUAAGGACCGGCUAAUUCCGUG
rnacentral:rRNA from 1 species